GCUUUUUCUCAUUCCAUCUUAAAAUGAGGUCCCAGAGGGAAGGCAGCAUUCCCCACAAGGCCAAUAGGAAGAGCGGGGGCCAUCCUGGAUAUGCAUGCUCAACCACCAGGUGGGGAGUGAGAGAGAGAAGAACUUCUGUGGUAAAACCUUUACAGGGGUCCAAGGUGAGAUACAAGAAGGCUUCCCGUGGUGAGUUCUAAUUGAAUUUUCUCAUUCACACUGCUAUGAGUGAUUCCACUAAUAGAACAGCAUCUCAUACAUUCAGUCCUGGAAUACUAGAGCAAAGCCUCCACUGAACUUCUACUGAGACUUGGUGCAGUACUACAUUUUGUUGCUGGCAGAAACUACCUUGUGUCAUUCUGAUUUGCUAUGACUCCAGAUGCUGAUCAGAUAUAGAGCUUGUAUAGAGCUAUUACUCUUUAAUUUCGUUUUCCUCUAAAGAACUACCUGAGACUGAGUAAUUUAUAAAUCAAGGAGGUUUAAUUGACUCAGAGUUGUGCAUGGCUGGGAAGGCCUCAGGAAACUUGCAAUUAUGGUGGAAGGCAGAGAGGAAGCAGUAAGGCACAUCUUACAUGGCAGCAGGAUGCGGGGAGUGCUACAACUUGAGAGCACCAGAUCUCGUGAGAACUCACUAUUACAAGAACAGCAUGGGGAAAACUGCCGCCAUGAUUCAGUCACCUCCCACUGAUGGCAGUGGCAGCCGUCUGGAGUGGCCUCUGUGAUGACGACACUUGCAGGAGGCAAGGUACUGCUGCGGCUGCUUGCUCUGUGCAUCUGGCAAGAGUUCCGAAGAGGUGAGAGCCCUACCCCCUACCGAGUUGACAGGCGGGAGCCCCACGUUUCUUCAUGCAACAGCAGGGACUCAGCUGUGGUCCCGGAACCUGGGUAUCUCUGUGCUCUUGGGGACCUGGUAAGUGCCCCCUACUCCUACAGGCUUGGAAUUGCCUGCUCACUCUCCCUAGUCUCUCCCUGCUCCCUGCCCCCGGCACCAGCUCUGGUGCAGAACAAAGUUGUGGCCAAGCCCAGGUGUUGACAUGACCCAGCCAGGUGUCCGCACACUCAGGGUGGUUCUGACAUGCCAGCCCCCCUCCACCUUAGCCUUCUCUGAACUUGGGAACCCACGAGCACAUGAGGAAGGCUGAUGGGCACUAAGGGUAGAUCAACACUGGCCUGUAGGUGCUCCUCUGCACGAACAGCCUGGGUGUCAUGGAUGGCAUGUUAAUGGCAGGAGGCAGACAGAUUCCUGGGCAGAAAGGGGAGGGUCCCUGGUGAAACCCCACCUUCGAGCCAGGGACAGACUGAAGCCUGAGAGGUGGGCUGCCAGUUCUGGGUGGAGUCUGCAGCCUGAAGUGAGAACUUAUGGUGCCUUUUCCAGGUCCACCCAUGGCUGCCCAUAGACCAAUCAGCAUGCACUUUCUCCUUUCUGAGCCCAUAACAUCCCCGGACUCAGCCAGACUCACCAUCUGCGGGAAGGAGCUCCCCACUUUGGGUCUCCUCAGUUCUUCCAGAUGAGUGUCCUGCAGAAAGGAGAUACCCACUCUAGGUCUCCUCACUGCAGAGACCUGGAUACUUAACAGGACGACCUGACUGUGGAAAGGAGUUACCCACUUUGGGUCUCCUGAGAGCUGUUCUGUCCCUCACCGAAGCUCCUCUGUGCCUUGCUCACCCUCCAGUUGUCUGCGUACCUCAUUCCUCAUUGAUGUGGAACAAGAACUUGGGACAGGAUGAAUGGUGGGAUUGAAAGAGUGGUAAACAAGCAGGGCUGAAACACACCACUCUGCUUGCCAUGUUGUGGAUGACAAGAAGGAGAGAAUAGCUGCAGCCCUUCGGGAGGCCAGGCACAGGGACUCCCCAAGCCAGGGUUGUGACACCCUCUUUGGGCUCUGCAAUUACUUGUGUCUCCAAGCUUCUAGGUUCCACUACGUUCCCCUAGUCCAGAUGCGAGUGCCCACAGUGAAAGCCGCAUGCAGUACAUCUGGUCCAGCCACAGCCUUGCAUGGAGCUGGCAUCUGUGCUGGGGCCUGUAGCUGCCCGCCCCACCACAGCAACCAGUGUGCCUGGCUGUGCAUAGUGGCUGAACCCGCGCUUACUCAUGCACACUUCCCUCACUGCUCCAUGCCUGACUCGCUGUUGGCAGGCGUGGGAGCUGGGCCAACAGUGUGAGCCAAGUGCAGCCUGCUGAGUCGAGUGGGCAGGAAAAUCCCAGUGAGCGUGAGCAAUAUUCAGGCAGAAGGCACUGCCAGCCACAGAGGUUUCUGGCUGGUGAAAUAACACCCCAAGGAGCCCAUGACAUCACCAGGUCUCUCUCUCAAUAUGUGGAGAUUACAAUUUGAGAUGAGAUUUGGGUGGGGACGCAGAGCCAAACCAUAUCAUUCCUAUUAUUAUUUUAUAUUAAACUUUUGAAGCUUACUUUACUAUUUAGGUAGCAAUGCAUUUAGUGAGACUGUUCAAAUCAUUUGAUGAUAAUUGAUAAAAUAUCUUUGGAAUUGUGUGCCUUCUCAUUUCCAGAAAGUAUUGGAAGUUUUUACUUGUACCAUGGAUAGCUACAUCUUGUUACACGGAAACGGAGUGGUUUCAUUUUUGUUUGGAAGCUUUAAUGUAUAAAAAUCUUUAUAUGAAAGUGGAGUAAGCAAACGGGUAUAUUGGUCUAUCAAUUUAUUACUUGCAGUACCAAAUCUACUUCCCUUUUUCCUACUUUGUGAGAUCAGAGCUAAACUCUUAAUAUUUUUCCUUUGCCACUUGGUACAAGUAGACUUUGUCAGUAGAGGAGGCCAGCGGGACACUGAAGCUCAAAGCAAUGUAUGCUCCUGGUUGCUUUAUUUCCUCCUAUGUUAUGGGUACAAGGUGGAGGACCAGUGGUGCUCAGGUUUCAGUGCAUCUACAGAAUACCACUUCCUGUGAAUCAGCUCGAGCACACUAGUACUUUCAAGUGAUCUUCUUGGUCACAUAGUGUACAGUUUCCAUAUACAAAUAUGGCUCACCUGAAUCUUUUAACAAGUUUAUCAGCCAUACAGUGGCCACGCUUGCAAACUAGCUCCAAUCUGCGCAUUGUGAGAAAUUUUUUUGCUAUAGGUAUGCUGCUGGCUCAGGUGGUAGCCCCACUGUCUCCAAUAAUGUCUGCUUCUCAGCCUGGGAAGAGUGUGCUGUUAUAUAUUCUCAGUUUCUUCAAUGUUUUCUCUUGCUCACCCCUAGAAAUAAAAGCAAAUUUCUACAUUUCUAUUUCUUUGUUCCUUGGAUGUCUCAUUCCCCUUUUUUAGUAGCUAAUCAUCUUUUACUAGUUAGUAAUUAUUUAUAAUAAAAACUUUUUUUGAUCACUGAUAUGCUUUCUGUCUCUUGACUAGACCCUAACUGAUAUACCUACAUUGAAAUAAGUUGUAGGUUGCAUAAAAUUUGUUGAACAUUUCUGCUUCAACACAAAUUAAGAUGAGCACAGUUGAACACAAUAAUUAUUUUACAAAAGUAUUAUAUCAUCAUCAUAACAAUUAUAGAGGGACAUUAAAUAUCCUGCAGAAUCAAGUACUGACAUAAUAUUUUAUUUGUAGCUUUAAAAAAGGUAAUAUUUAAAAAAAACUUAUUUGCUGAAUGUUUACUCAUGGUUAACAUCUUUCUUGGUCAAAAUUGAGGCACUGAUUAUUAUUCUCUACCAAAUAAUUGUUUCAUAUAACUGUGAUACAGAUAACAAAACAUGUUGACUUUUAUCUCACAUUCUCUGUUAAUUAUUAUUUGCUUUUCCCCCAUUUUUGAGUAGUAAAUACUAAGUAAAGUGAAUAAAAAAAUUGACUCCAGAUUCAAUACAUAAUAUCAGUACAAAUAGCAAAGGUAUUUGUCUGUAGGGUCACCCAUCACCAAAAUGAUUCAAUCAAAGUUAUAUAUUUACUAUGCAGUCUAGUUAAGAUUGAAAUUAGAAAAGGAGUUAUUAUUUCUACACAAAUACUUAUUUUGUGAUUUGUCAAAAAUUACCACAUUCUUUGGAUAACAAAACAGUAAACAGUGCAAAGGAAUUGCUGUUGUUGUUGUUCUGUUGUCAUAGCAUUGAGAUUUUUGAUAUGAGCAUAAAGCUUCUCACACCAACAUUAAUCUCUUGAGUUAUAUACAUUAGUAUAUAUUUUGCUUGUGAGCAGUGAUCAUGUUUCUUUAGCCUUAUUUAUUUGCUGCUUUGCCAUGUAUAUAUAUAUGGAUGGGCAACAUUUGUCAUUGCCUCCCUUAAAAUAGAUUCUGUUUCAAAAGCUUUAACAUGGACUACAUUAAAGUCUGAUCAAGGUAUGCUGAGACAAAUCUGUGGAUUUGGUUCUGUGUUGUAUUGAUGUUUGUUUUCUAUGGCUGUUUAUUUUCCAGUCAUGUAGAAAGAUUCCUAAGAGAAUAUAUUCCAGAUUGACUUUUUAUGGGUCUUUAGUAGAAUCUAGAAUGCUAUUUCAGGAGAUCUUGUGGUUCAUCUGCAGAAACAUAUCACCUAAUUGAAGAGCCCCACUCCUUCUCCAAUCAUGGACAUCUGCAAGUUUAAGAUGGUGACCAAAGUCCUGCACAAAAUCUUAAGUAUGGUCCUAGAAACUCAGAACCUCUAAGCUUGCUAGUCUCUGAACCUAGAAAUAUCCAUGAUCAAGUUAAUAGAAGAUGGCACAUUCUAGACAAAAAUUUUGUGGAACUUUUAAUAAUACGAUCAUGCCUGCUAGUAACAAAAGUUAAAAAAAAAUUAUCAACAAUAUAACACAUUGUGUGAUUUAAAACAGAAGUUAGAUUAAAGCAUAUAUUAAAAUUCAAGCUAUAUUCCCUUCUCACCCUUAUACUGUGGUGAGAAUUGUGCAAAUAGACUUCUACCUGUCCUUUGAUAUUGAAGAAAAUGAAAUAAUGCCACCCUCCCCCCAAAUAAAUGUUUUUGUUUUGUUUUGUUUUGUUUUUUUGACGGAGUCUCUGUCACCCAGGCUGGAGUGCAGUGGCAUGAUCUUUGCUCACUGCAACCUCCACCUCUGAGGUUCAAGCAAUUCUCCUGCCUCAGCCUCCCGAGUAGCUGAGACUACAGGCGUACACCACCACACCGGCUAAUUUUUUGUAUUUUUAGUAGAGACGGGGUUUCACCAUGUUAGGAUUAUCUCGAUCUCCUGACCUCAUGAUCCGCCCAUCUUGGCCUCCUAAAGUGCUGAGAUUACAGGCAUGAGCCACGGUUCCUGGCCCAAAUAAAGCUUUUGAAAGAAAAGUUAUAGCAUUCACAUGAGAGGGUUUUUUUUUUGAAAAAUUGUAUGCCAAAUGUAAGGUUUAUUCCAUGGUGUAAUUUGUAGAUAAUCUAUAUAGUACUAACAAUAUAAUUGUACUUUUUUUAACUAUAGUUCCUCUUUUGUUUUGUAAAUUCAUUAUAAAUUGUUUAUCAAUUAUACUGUCAUCAUUAAAGAAUGAGAAAGAAAACUCUCAAGAGCAUUUUUAAUUGUAAUGAUUUGAUUAAACAAGAAGUGCUGUAAAGAAGGUAAUGAAUCAAGCCUAAACAGCAAAAUGGAGUAACUCUUCCAGGAUUUAUAUAAAAGUAUUUAUAGAUAUAUUAUGGUGUGCUUUGUAAUUUAUGAAAGUAAAUUAUAAUAACACUUCAAUCGAUUUGUAAAAACAUAAACAACAAAAGUAAAAUAUGUUUUUUCUUUUUUCUUUUUUUUCUUU
rnacentral:lncRNA from 1 species